UUAUGUGAUCGUCUCUCGCAUAUCAAUAAGCGGAGGAAAAGAAACUAACAAGGAUUCCCCUAGUAACGGCGAGUGAAGCGGGAAGAGCUCAAAUUUGAAAUCUUAAAGGGUUUCCCUUUACGAAUUGUAGUUUAAAGAAGUGUUUUCUGUUGAGGUUUUGGUAAAAGUUCUUUGGAAUAGGACAUCAUAGAGGGUGAGAAUCCCGUAUUUGACCUUUACUUUCAACUUUGUGAUACACUUUCAAAGAGUCGGAUUGUUUGGGAAUGCAGUCCAAAAUGGGUGGUAAAUUUCAUCUAAAGCUAAAUAUUGGCGAGAGACCGAUAGCGAACAAGUACCGUGAGGGAAAGAUGAAAAGAACUUUGAAAAGAGAGUUAAACAGUACGUGAAAUUGUCAAAAGGGAAGCGUUUGACACCAGUGUUGUUUUUCUGAAAAUCAAUUAAAGAACUGUUUACUGCUAAGUUGUUUAGACUUUAUCAGCUAACUGUUUAGUUUUGAGCUUUUCUUUAAUGCACUUUUCAGUUAACAAGUCAACAUCAAUUUCUUUUGCUGUAAAAAAGCUUGAGGAAGGUGGCUUGAGAUUCGUCUUAAGUGUUUAUAGCCUCUUGCCUAUGCAGUCGGAGAGAUUGAGGUCUGCAGCGUAGAUCCUUCGGGGCUAAAUGCAUUUGUGCUAAGUUAUAGCAUUUUAUAGACAACUUGUUGACUAUGAUUUGUCCUGUAGCUUACUCGCUUAUGUUAUUUUACCUACGCUUAGGAUGUUGAUCUACAGAGCGAGAGU
rnacentral:rRNA from 1 species